AAAUUUUGCAUUCCCACCCCUAUCUUUUUUUCAGCCGCCACUUCCUUUUCCCUGCCUUCUUCUUCCUCCAGCGAGCAGCAAGCGCAGGGAGCAGCAGCUUUCCCAGCGCCCCCUCUCUCCCAUGGCUGAGCAGCAGCUCUGCUCGCCCCCUCCCAUGGCGCCUCCGCCUCCCUGCGUGCUCUUUCCUCGCUCCUUGGCGCAGCAGCAAAUUACCAUGGUGCCUCCCUCUGCUGUCCACGAAGAGCAGCCAAGCGCCCCACUGUUGAAGCUCCCUGGAUGGCGCCUAGAAUUUCAGCAGAGAGCUUCUUCUCCAUGGCCAGCCGCCCCUCUGUUGCUGCCGAGCUCCAGCUCUGGCCAGCAGCCAUGGCGCCGAGGAUUACCUGCAGGCGAGCAGCUCGGCCCUUCUUCCCUGCGCCCAGCUAUUCUCCCUGCGCAGCACCUCCUUCUUCUACCUCUUGCCGGCGCCCAGCAGCAGCUCACCCCAUGGAUGGCGCCCAGAAAAUUUCAGCCGGCGCCCCUUCUUUUUCCCCUGCUCGUUCUCCCUCGCGCAGCAGCAGCUCGCCCCACCUCACCUCGCUGCGCAGCUCCUCGGCGAAACGCCGCUGUUCCUGCAGCCCCGGCACAUCCCCCAGCUUCCUCGCUGCUACCGCUGCGCGCAUGCCAAGUGCUCGGCAUAAUGUCGAGGGAGAUGUGUUGUUGCAGCACGCCGUGACGCUCGCUGGGUGUUCAAUGUUUUUGGCGCAGCCCCGCUCGCGACGCCGUUGAAACCCGUGCUAGCCGUCAAUCGCCAUUCGUCACGCACGCGCGUUCGAUACAAGACCGGUCGGGUGAACCACGUGCUUGCAUAACUCAAAUCCGAUCCCGCUCAGGUUGAUUGAUUUAUAGUUUACCAUACGUAUGAUUUGGUUGAUGUCAUGCAAUGCGCGUAUAUGUGGGGAUAUGUGUAUAAAAUGUCUUGAUUAUACGCAUUAGUAGGUUCGCAUUUGCGGUUGGAGAACAAGAAGUUGUUUGAUGUGUGCGAUUUGUAGUUUGUCUAAAUACGUUUGGUCGAUGUGGUGUGUAUUGGUGUUUGAAUAUAUGUGGCUGCGAUGAUUCAUUUAUGCGUCACAAGGAUGGUUCGUGGAUGGUGUUAGUCGUUUGUUAAAAUACUUCGUCAUAAAGCAGUGUGUUAGUCGGGGUAAAUCUAAUAAAAAGUAAAA